AUUUGCAUUCGACAUAGUGGCUAGAAGUGUAUCGAUAUUAGACCCACUGCCUAUACCGGAUUGGUUUAAAGGACAUGAACCCAUAUGCUUUUAUCUGUUGAAAACUCUUAAAAUUUCCAAUAAAUUGAAUCUAGCUCUGGAAGUAGCAAACCCCUCGUGGAUUGACGACAUAUGUGAUUGGCGUCGUAUACUACCAAUUUGUGUUCCAAAGACAAAAGAUUGGUUUGACUCGGGUUUUUUUGUUAUUAACUUCAUGCGUGCGUGGAAUAGUAAACAACUACAACCACCGAUUUGCACUGAUGUGCACGAACUAAGGAAGAAGUUUCUGGUUGACCUGCUG